AUAACCCGGUUCCCGUACGGUCACCGAAGUUAAGCAACGUUGAACCAGGUCAGUACUUAUAUGGGUGACCGCUUGGAAAGGUCAGAUGCUGUAAG